GCUUUACUACGGGAGAGUUUUUUUUCUUUUACUACAUAAACUUACACGCAAUACACGCUUCAUCGUUUUGUAUCUAGUAAGCCGUAAAACAAAUCGUGUUUCCGUUGUUUCGGUAAAUCCAACGCUACCGCGCUGUAUAACGCGCAUUUAAAAAUCUUAUUCACUCACGAGUAAAAACUUCACGAGCUCUCUGCGAUAAAUCCGCCUUCCCGUCCGAUGUUUCUCUCGAAUAUGGUUUUCCAA